GCAUGGGAGGCUUACCAUGCAGUCGAGGGGUAACAUUGUGCUUGCACAGAUGACGACCGGCGCACGGGUGCGUAACGCGUAUAGAACCUACCUUUUACAGAGGAAUAGCCUUUAGAAAUGAAGAUUAAUGCCUCAUAGUAUUGUAGACUGGCAUCAGUUUAUAAUUAAAGAUUUAUCGGUAAAAGAUGGCUAUGCGUCCUAUUAGUUAGUUGGUAAGGUAACGGCUUACCAAGACAGCGAUAGGUAGGGGUCCUGAGAGGGAGAUCCCCCACACUGGUACUGAGACACGGACCAGACUCCUACGGGAGGCAGCAGUGAGGAAUAUUGGACAAUGGAGGAGACUCUGAUCCAGCCAUGCCGCGUGUAGGAAGAAUGCCCUAUGGGUUGUAAACUACUUUUAUACAGGAAGAAACACUGGUAUGUAUACCAGCUUGACGGUACUGUAAGAAUAAGGACCGGCUAACUCCGUGCCAGCAGCCGCGGUAAC
rnacentral:rRNA from 1 species